rnacentral:sRNA from 20 species
GUCAACAACCCCACACUAGAAGUGGGGGGCUUGCAGGAGCAAUCCUACAGGCUCCAAGUUGACCAAACUCAGCAUUUUUUAAGUGCUACGUUACCGUAGAAAGCUACAACAGGUACGGCAGGGUGCUUCUCCAGCCUUGCCCACUACG